UACGUAGGGCGCAAGCGUUGUCCGGAAUUACUGGGCGUAAAGGGCGCGUAGGCGGCGACCCAAGUCAGAUGUGAAAGUCCUGGGCUUAACCUGGGGACUGCAUUUGAUACUGGGUUGCUUGAAUUCGGGAGAGGAUAGCGGAAUUCCCAGUGUAGAGGUGAAAUUCGUAGAUAUUGGGAAGAACACCGGUGGCGAAGGCGGCUAUCUGGACCGACAUUGACGCUGAGGCGCGAAAGCGUGGGGAGCAAACAGG
rnacentral:rRNA from 1 species